AGGAUGAACGCUGGCGGCGUGCUUAACACAUGCAAGUCACGGGGGCUCAGCAAUGGGCAACCGGCGAACGGGUGCGUAACACGUGAGCAACCUACCGAAAUGAGGGGGAUAGCCGGCCCAACGGCCGGGUAAUACCGCAUAAGCUCAGAUCCAGGCAUUUGGGUCUGAGGAAACCUCCGGGGCGUUUCGAGGGGCUCGCGGCCUAUCAGCUAGUUGGCGAGGUAAUGGCUCACCAAGGCGACGACGGGUA
rnacentral:rRNA from 1 species